rnacentral:sRNA from 1 species
AUAAAUCUGUGAAAACAGAAAUCCUAGGUUAUCUACUGAACAAGAACAUUACAUGCAACAGAAAUAUGAACACCCACAUUACUACUCUAGCAGCGUGCCUUAAAAACCUGGCCUGCAGGAAUCACUACUAGGACUGAGGAGGGGAGUUCAGUCUCCAUGCCAGUUCAAUCACGGAGCUCU